ensembl:lncRNA
GACAGAUGGGGACAGACAGACGGACGUGGAGGGGGACAGACGGACACUGAUGGGGACAGACGGACGGACGGGGACAGGAACAGAUGGGGACAGACGGACAUAUGGGGACAGAUGGGGACAGACGGACAGAUGGGGCCAGAUGGGGAUAAGGACAGACGGACGGACACGGAUGGGGACAGACGGACAGAUGGACGUGGAGGGGGACAGACGGACACGGAUAGGGACAGACAGACGGACAGACGGAGACAGAUGGGGAUAAGGACAGACAGACGGACGUGGAGGGGGACAGACGGACAUAGGGAGAAGGGGACACAGAUGGGGACGGACAGACAGACAGUGAUAAGGACAGAUGGACAUGGAUGGGGACAGACAGACACAGAUGGGGACAGACAGACGGACAGAUGGGGACAGACGGACAGACGGACACGGAUGGGGACAGACAGACAGACAUGGAUGGGGACAGACGGACACAG